GGAAUGAUAAAUCCAUUAUGUACUAUAUUUUUUGUGUCAUUUUGUGGGUGUUGUUAGAAAUAGUAUUCUGAAGCUCGUGAUUGUGAACUUAUUGGUGCAGUGGAAGCUUCACUCUUCUGUUUUCAAGAGCAAUAAUUGUUACCCCAAAAUGAUCUAUCCUUUAUCUUGUAUCACUCUAAAUCUCACUUUUAUGACCAUAUCCUUCUCUCAAGCAGGCUCUCAGCAUCUCUCCUUAUCUCUAUCAUCUAUUUAAUUUACCUCCCAUCACUUUCACUCUUCCCUGUUUAAUUUCAUCACCCUGUCCACUCUCCCCUCCUCUCUCCUCCCUUGCCUCUGAUCUUUCAGUGUGGUGGCGCUCUCAUGCUGCAUCAUCGGGGAUAACACAUGCUCUCUGUUUAUUAUCAGGGAGGGAGGGAGUUGGAGAGAAAGAAGGAGGGAGGAUGAGAGGGUAUCAGAGAACCCAUAGAGUAGACAGCCUUUCUCUGUAGCACACACAGACACACAGACCAGAACAGACUGGGGGAAAGAGAGAGGGAAACAGACGCACUGCAAAAUCCAGACGCAUCAACAGCCACCCUAGCAGCUCAAACCACCACAGCAGGUUGCUCUCCAGGAUGGCUGGGAUGAAGGAGCAGCAAUUUACUGAGGAGAAACCCCUACUGCAAGAACAGAGAGGACAAGACACUGAGAUGGAGAACUGUGAGACCCUGAUGCCCACUGGAGACUGGAAGGUACUGAAACUGUUUUCUACAUUUUCAAUGUACCGUACUCUCUUUCUCUCUCUAUCCUUCUCUGGUUGCUGUUAUUACUGUACAUCACAGGAGGCUGCUGAGGGGAAAACGGCUCAUAAUAAUGACCAGAACAGAGCAAAUAAAAUGGCAUCAAACACUUGGAAACCAUGUGUUUGACCUAUUUGAUACCAUUGCACAUCUUCCGUUCCUUACCACUAGCCCAUCCUCCCCAAUUAAGGUGCCACCAACCUCCUGUGCUGUACACUCACCCACGUAACCAUGGUGACUCAUUGGGAGGAGAAGAGGGAAGAAGAUGGGGAGAAGGAUAAGUGACUGUUUGGCCAUAGCACAGCUAAUAUGAGUUGGGACCACUAGAUACUGAUGCAAUCAUUCACUAUCACACAGCAGCUCUCACACAGUGCAGAACCACAAAAGUUUUAAAGUCCUUAGAAGUUGAUUUCUGUAAUGUGAUGUUCAGAGUCUAUUUUAACAUGAAUCCACGUAGCGAUUAGAUCAGAGAUAUGACUAAUCGUCUAGACACCUCCAUUCUCCCCUCUGUCUGAUACCUCCAGUGUCACCUCCCCCCUCUCUCACCUCCCCCUCUGCCCCCCUCUUCCCCCCUCUCUCACCCUCUCAACUCAAUUCAAUUCAAAUGGCUUUAUUGCCAUGGGAAACAUAUGUUACAUUGCCAAAGCAAAUGAAAUCGAUAAUAAACAAAAGUGAAAUAAACAAUCGAAAAUGAACAGUAAACAUUACACUCACAAAAGUUUCAAAGGAAUAAAGACAUUUCAAAUGUCAUAUUAUGCCUAUGUACAGUGUUGUAAGUAUGUGGAUAUAGUUAAAGUACAAAAGGGAAAAUAAAUAAACAUGAAUAUGCGUUUGUUCUUCACCGGUUGCCGUUUUCGUGUGGCAACAGGUCACAAAUAUUGCUGCUGUGAUGGCACACUGUGGUAUUUCACCCAGUAGAUAUGGGAAUUUGUUUUCUUAUUCUUUGUGGGUCUGUGUAAUCUGAGGGAAAUAUGUGGCUCUAAUAUGGUAAUACAUUAGGAAGUGCAGCUCAGUUUCCACCUCAUUUUGUGGGCAGUGUGCACAUAGCCUGUCUUCUCUUGAAAGCCAGGUCUGCCUACAGCAAGGCUAUGCUCACUGAGUCUGGCUAUGCUCACUGAGUCUGUACAUAGUCAAAGCUUUCUUUAAUUUUGGGUCAGUCACAGUGGUCAUGUAUUCUGCCACUGUGUACUCUCUGUUUAGGGCCAAACAGCAUUCCAGUUUUUCUGGUUAAUUCUUUCCAAUGUGUCAAGCAAUUAUCUUUUAGUUUUCUUAUGAUUUGGUUGGGUGUAGAUGUGUUGCUGUCCUGGGGCUCUGUGGGGUGUGUUUGUGAACAGAGCCCCAGGACCAGCUUGCUUAGGAGAUUCUUCUGUAGGUUCAUCUCUCUGUAGGUGAUGUCUUAUUUAUGGAAGGUUUAGAAAUCGCUUCCUUUCAUGUGGUUGUGGAAUAUAACCGCUCUUUUCUGGAUUUUGAUAAUUAGCGGGUAUCGUCCUAAUUCUGCUCUGCAUUAUUGGGUGUUUUACAUUGUACACGUAAUAUGUUUUUGCAGAAUUCUGCAUGCAGAGUCUCAAUUUGGUGUUUGUACCAUUUUGUGAAUUAUAGGUUGGUGAGGGACCCCAGACCUCACAACCAUAAAUGGCAAUAGGUUCUAUAACUGAUUCAAGUAUUUUUAGCCAGAUCCUAAUUGGGAUGUUGAAUUAUAUGUUCCUUUUAAUGGCGUAGAGGGAUCUUCUUGCCUUGUUUCUCAGAUCGUUCACAGGUUUGUGGAAGUUACCUGUGUUGCUGAUGUUCAGGCCGAGGUAUGUAUGAUUUUUUGUGUGCUCUUUGGCAAUGGUUGUCUAGAUGGAAAUUGAAUUUGUGUUCCUGGCAACUGGACCUUUUUUGGAACACCAUUUCCUGUCAGGGCCCAAGUCUGACAUAAUCUGUGCAGAAGAUCUAGGAGCUGUUGUGUUCCCCCCCCCCCCCCUUCUCUCUCUAUCUGUUAAAUGCUUUGCACAAAUCAGCAGGCCUCAAGUUGUAUCACACAGUGGUUGAGUGUAUGGUGCCAUGUAGCUCAGUUGGUAGAGUGUUGUGCUUGUAACGCAAGGGUUGUGGAUUCGAUUCCCACUGGGCACCAUUACGAAAAUGUAUGCACAAAUGUAAGUCGCUCUGGAUAAAAGCUAAAAUGUAAAUGUUUGUAUGUGUGUUUUUCUGAGGGUAUCCUUGCAUGUGUGUGUGAUGACAGUGCAUAUGAUUAUAGGUGAGAGAAUGAGGUUGUGUAUUUAAUGAAGACUGGAAAUGUUGAGUCAGCCGGGGAGUGGGUUAAUCCCUCUCUUCCGCAGAAAAGGGGGACCGAGCUAGAGAGAGAAAGAGACAUGGAGAGUUUACAGUUGAGUCAGCUUGCUAAGUUCUCUGUACACAGGAAAGGCGGAUACCGACGAGAGAAAGAAAAAAUUGAUGUUGUGGAGAAUAUGGACAAUGGCUGCUGGUGUGAAUAAAUGUAACCUAUAGCAGAGACAGCCACUGCUGCCAUAUUGAUCUGUAGUCAGCACUGUUCCAUCAUCCCCUGCUUUCUGAGUAGAUGCACGCACAUACAGUACUCUGCUCUGCUUUACUGGUGACCUAUGGCCACUUACUGUCCCAUCAAUGUCCCAUUACACAGAAGCAUGGAGGAGCCUACUGGCUGCUGCUGCUGCUGCACAGAGACAGAAAGAGAUGUCACUGUUCUCUGUUUAAUUUUUAUUUGUAAAAAUAAAUCUCACUGCAUGCUAAGCAUUUGUUUAUGCAUCACCGUCCAUGACUGUUAAGGAGCGAUAAGAGGGGUGGGAAAGGAAAGGAGACAGGUAGGACAGGGUCAAUAAGAGAGAGAGGGAGAGAAAAAGAGAGGGAGAUAAGCCAUCUUCUCCUGAAACAGAGCACUGGUGCUGAUGAGAGAGCAAAACAAGAGCACAGCAGAGAACCUGCUGUGACUGACAGAGGAGCUAACCAAUCAUGUGCAGAGAGGCAGCACUGGCAGCGAAUAGGCUUGAGUUCGACACGCCCUCAUGGUGGGGUUUAUAAGGUGUCGGGGGAAGAGAGGGGGCACAGCACUGCAGCGCUCAGCCCCAGAGCAGGACGAGGCUAGACGAGACAAGACAAGACGAGACAAAGAGACCACCAGCAGCAUCCCCCAGCAGGCUCUGCUCUAAAGCCAGGACCUAGUCCCACUACAGGAGAGGACUGGCUCUGUCUGUCUGUCUGUCUCGUCUCCACUGACUGCUCCUCCUCCUCCUCCUGCCAUUCUUCCUCCUCUUUCUCCUCCACCACUG
rnacentral:lncRNA from 8 species